CUGGUCGCUGCUCGCCCAAUUUCCGCUGCUCACACAGCUUCCCUGUGGAUCCGUCCCCAUGCAUCUCUGUAGCCGGACAUGCAUCAUAGCCGGUAGUCGCUGCUGCAUCCCCUCCUAGCACUCUUGCCCUCUGCAAUGCUAACCUGAGAACUGUAGCUAACAACGGGAUGGGGAACUGCCGCCGUGCUGCUGUGUGACCGCUGCUGCUUUGUCUUCACGAAGCGUGAUCGCUCAUCUGUGUUUGUAACCGUGUGACCACUAACGUUCGUCUCGACUUCGUCAUAUUAAGUGUCAUUCUUGUCAAUUCUGUGUGUACAUGGUUUUGGUUCAUUAUUCUUUUGUUUUGAUUUGCUUUACCACUGGCAGGAGGCCAUUUCCCCUGCGCUGCUGAUAACCAGUGUCCCAACAUCUUACUUUGUAAUGUAUCUCUGGUUUUCUAGCUUUCAUCUUAUGAUUUGAUUAGCCACUGAUAGGAGGCUGCUAUUCCAUCUGUGCUGUGGAUUACCAGUGUGCUAGUGUUUAUGAUUUCUGGGGAAUUACUACUUUAGUUUAUAGUUUGUUUGUUUGUUUGUUUGUUUGUUUGUGUGUUGCACUGGCAGGAGGCCAUUUGUCCAGCUGCGGAGAGCCCGUGUCUUAACUAUUGUGAUUAGUAUUUGUGUUUGGUUAAAUGUGGCUCCCACUAAUUGUCCUCCCCCUGUCCUGUGUCUUUUCUAGGAGCUGAGGCCUACAGUGGAGGGGCUACUGUCUUCCUGGUGGUGUCCCCUUUUUGGUGUGCUACUAUUAUACCUCACGGGUGUUGCUGAUUUGACCUUUGCUGUGUGUGUGUGUGCGAAUACGUGGACACUCUUGCAGUGGUGUGACCUCCUGG